AAAAAGUAAAGGAAGAGGGGCCCACGAAUAAGGAUCAAAGGAGAAGAAAAAACUUCUUCUUCUUCACCAAGGAAUUCACUCACAAAAAGGAAAAAAUCCUCCAUCGUCAUACACAGGGGAUAUCACUAAAAAAGGGAGGACCUAUCUUCUUCUUCUUAAAAAAAAAAGGACCCUUCUGUUAUUCUCAUUCUCACCAGUAACACGCACACGCACACUCUCAAAAAACACACACACAACACUCAUUAUUUUACCUUACUGAAUCAGUAAACACACAGAGAGAGCUGCGAGGGAGAAAGAUGGGAAAGAGCAGCUGAAUGAGAAAGAAGUAAAAGGAGAAUAGGCCGGAGAACACUAUUUUGGCGACUAUUCGCUCAUCGGAAGCCCCAUCUCAGGUUCUGUACUGGCCAAGUUUGACAAGAUCUUUGUCGGUAGUCGAUCAUCAUUCGUCGACUUGACCGACCAUUUUGAAAUCACCAAAAAUCUCAUCGUUUCUUUUGAUUUUCAAGUAAAUCCGGCAUGAAUACGUUGAAACUCAUCGGAAUCCUCCCUUUCUGAUUGCUUUUCCGCUGUCCGAGCUUAUCGAAGCUCAGGCUACACUAUUCUUUGGUUUUAUUAUGUAUUGGGGUUUCUGUGUUCGUCUGACUUUGUAUUCCGUUGCCAGAAUUGGGCUUCGGGGGAUUCAUCGAUUUUUGUUCCUGUUUUAGGGUUUAGUAUUUUGCACGUCUCAACCAGUUUUUGGUUUCAAAUUCCUCAAUAUCGAAGUUGGAGUUCGUCACUGUUGAGGUUUGGUUCGAGGUUUUCGGGUGCGGAUUCUGUCCUUUUAUUAAAGUAUUAUUAAAUUUCAGAAUCUUCGAAUUGAGGUUCAAUUCUAUUCCCUGUUUCUGUUAGUUCAUUAUUCAUUAUAUUUGGAUGCAUCAAAUUACGUGUUAUGUCUUGCUUGAUCUGUGUUGGUGGUGAAUCUUUAGUUGUUUUGAAUCGUGAAUUAAUUUGGGAGGGGGGGGGGUAAGAAUUAAAAACUUGACAUAAUUGGUGAAUUUUGGUUAGUUUGAUUCAUUGGUUGUUUGACUUGAAAUGAACGUUAAUCGAACUUAGAAGUAUCUUGAUACAUUGAUUGGUUUAGAAAACAUAGUUUGGAUAGGCAAAGUUUAGAAUUUGUGGCUUCGGUUGAAUUUGGAAAUUUUGUGGAAUGUUUGAAAUUUUGUUGAAUAGUUUUAUUUUCCCGCACUAAAAAUGUAUUCAUUUGGCCGGGGGAUGCCUCGAGGGAUUUGUAUUAAUUUAUUCGGAAAAUGCCCCGAAGUAUCUUGUACUUGAAGGACGUUCGCGAGGAAGGACCGAGGUAUCGGGUGAGGCAUUGGAGCUUAGUUUAGGAUUAGUUUAGAAUAGGAUUUACAUUUUCGUAUUUUUCUAUUUCGGGACUGUAUGACUCGGAUUGGACACUAUAUUUUGGAUCACUUUUUUUUUGUUUAUUUGUUUGAUUGUUUUAAAUGUUUUGUGUGGUUUGUACAUCGUAGUGCCAAAUUAGUCGAUACCCUCCACCAAGCGACCAUGGUCGAACCACGGGACCGAAGGGUGCCUAACACCUUCCCCGCGGUCAACAAAAUUCCUUAGUCGGAAUCUCUGUUCGCAAAUUAGUUUAAAGAAUCAAAUCAUUUUGAAAAGGAUCUUUCAAAGCUGACUUGGCACACCAGAUUAUGCCAAGUGGCGACUCUGAAUAAAAAUGUAAAUAAUCCUUUUUCGAAACAACCUUCAAUAUUUUGUCACCUUAAUAACAAAACCCUUUCAAACUUAAAACGAAUCUUCUUUUUUGGAGUGUAAAAAGGGGUGUGACAGCUCUGGCGACUCUGCUGGGGAUUUUUCAGAAUUCGAGCUUAUAUUUUUGAGUCGUAUCGGCUUUGUUUGGCAUUAUGGGUGUAUAAACAUUGUUUGUGAUUAUUGUUUGUGUUAUUGUUAUCACUGUUGUGCGUUUCUGUGCUCUUUGUUUACAGUUUUUCUUUAUGUGUUACCGCUUUAUAUCUGACAUCAUUUGCAUAACUCGAGUCAAUUCUUUCUGCAAUAAGUUUCGGAGUGCACGUCGUACGCACGAACUCUAGUUGAGUCACCCUUAUUUUAGGGGGGGAGCCGUUGUAUGUAUGGAGUAGGUGGAAAGCAAAGCAGCCACUAUCGAUCAUAUGCUCCCCCGAACGGCCUUGUUAGUAAACCACAACAUAGGUCAGCCUUUAGGUCAUGCUUAUGUGCAUCAUAUUGAGACCUAGCGGGGCCCACUUGGUCCUUUGUAGGAGACUUACCUCUAAAGCAUCCUACGUGCUAAAUGUUGCAUCUCUGAGGGUAGCGUGGUCAUUUGACGGACUGAUUUGGAAAAAACAUGGGCUAGAAUUAAAGAAAGAUGUCUAGGCAUGGAGAAAUCAAAAAAAUAAAAAGGAAAAAGAAAAAAGGUAAAUCAAAAAGAGUUUCGUAGUUUUUUUGGAUUUCUUUAUGACUUUUAUUUUUCACAAUCCAAAAAUUCAAAAAGAUUUUCUUACCUUUUUCAUGCAUUUACUCAAAAAUAAAAAAAAUAAAAAGAUUUUCCCUUUAUCUCUUUUAGCAUGCAUUCAUAAUUCAAAAAAAAUUCCACAAAAAAAAAAUGUUUUUUUAGGAGUUUUUUUUUUAUAAAAGGAAAAUGCAAAAAUGGUAGAAGUUCUAUACAUUUCAUCUAACGAAAAUGCCAAAAAAAAAAAAUUCUCUUUUAUAGUUGUUGGUGUAGUUUUGUGCGAAGAGUUUAAUUGAAAACCCAAAAAGAUUUUAUUUCUCAUCGUCUGUCUGUAAUCGCGUCUCUCAAGUCAAGUCAUAGUUCGUUUUAAUCCUUAAUUGUUCAAUCUGGAUGAACUUCGCCCCCCUGAUUCUCCUCUCCCGGGAGUGAGAUACGUAGGCAGCCUAUUGUUGGUUCGGGGAUCUUAUUUCAAAAAUCCAAAAAGAUUUUCUUCACUAUUUAUUUAGAGUAGGUGUCAUAUACUUCGUUAAUAGAAAACUGCAAAAAGAUCUUUCUUUGAUAGUUUCAAUUUUUUUUUUCAUAUGAAAUUCAAAAUUGAAAACCCAAAAAGAUUUUCUUUGGUAAUCAUAGGUUUCAUUUCGUAUAGGAAUCUGAAAAAUCCAAAAAGAUUUCCUUCACUUUUCAUUUAGGGUAGGUGUUUCAUAGACAUCUUUAAGAGAAAACUACAAAAAAGAUUUUCCUUUAAUAGGUUCAAGUUUCAUUUUCGUAUGAAAUGCAAAAAAAAAAAAAAUCUUUCUUUGGUAAUCAUAGAUUUCAUUUUGUAUAGGGAUGUCAAAACUGAAAAAAAUUCAAAAAGAUUUUCGUCAAUUCUUUUGACAAAUUGUUAUUUUCUUUUCUUCUUAAAGUUUCAAGGAAUAGAAAAAGAGUUUAAUUGGCCAUUUUCGCAAGACUUCACAAACUACACACACCUGAUUCUCCUCUUUCGGGGGUGAGAUGCGUAGGCGCCCUUCUCGGGUUCGGUGAUCUUAUAAAAAAAGAAGAAGGAAAAAAGAGUUUUGAAAAAGUGUCGAACUUUAAUGCAUUUUCUAUCUCUUGUUCAGUUAGUUUAAGGUGGUUGGUUUGUGGCAUUCUGGCUGGUCCUCCACAUCACACCAAAUCCAAAGGGUUAGUUGUGUCCAACAAGGAUAUAGAGAGUAGCAUCAUGGAUCAAACAAAGAGUCAAGAAAUUUAGAGUUUAAAGGAAGAGAAUUGGAGACUAAGACAACAAGUAAUGGAAAUGUAUCGAGCCUGGGCCAGUGGGCUGCCUCCGCCUCUGUUCCCCACUUUUAACCUUGCAAAUACCUUGAGUCUUCCACUAAAAUUGCAAAGUCAAUUUCUUGAUAUUGUUGAUGCAUCAUAGCAUGUCGCAGAAUCCAUUCCACGUCAAAUGAACCCAAUACUUUCACCACUCAUUCUUUAGCUCCUCAGUAUAAGCCUACUAUGUUCAUAGCACCAUAUACCAUUUGUGCCUUUGUUGCUCAACCUUCUAGUAAAGCUUCCACUUUGGCUAUCAACUCAAUGGUUGUGCCACCCUAAUCUGCUAGUGGACCCAUGUUCAUGGCUCUUGACGAUCAUUGCUAUACUCUUGAGCCUACAAUUAAGUUAAGUGGACCGCCAAAAUUUCUUACCAAGAAGCGUAGCAUACUAGAAAAGCCAGAGGAAAUUGUGGGGAAGGUGAAGAAUAUAGAAAAUGACUUGGAAAGUUUCCUGGGACUUGUGGGUAAAGAGGAUGUUUUAUAGUAAGACUGGGGUAUGUCUUCAGAUGUCAACCUUCUUCAAAGCUUUGAAAUAUCAAAAGUUGAGGAACAUGAUGGACAAAAGGAUUCUAGGAAACAUUUAGAACGAUAGUGCAAUCAAUCUAGGGAAACUAAAAGAAAGAAGAAGGGAAACAAACCUAUUAUCGCGCCAGGGCAAAAACAGAGUUCGAGAGGUCCAACUCACCAAUAUUGUUAGCACCAAUCCCGAGCUUACAUAUCAAAUCUAUAUACUCACCUACAACAUGGUUCCUCUUUUCAAAAUCCAAGAUAUUUCAUUCCAUGUCCUUAGUAUCCUUUGAACAAUGCACAGUCGUAUGCUGAUUCGUCUUUCUAUUCACAAUGGCAUGUACCGGCACCUCAACAUCGUCCUCAGCCCCCACAAAUUUACCAAGGAACCUCUAAAUCCAAGUUUCAUUCGAGGUCAGAGUUCACAAACAGGGGGAAGGAAAAGGAUAAUUUCACUCCCAUUGGGGAAUCCUAUGCUAGUUUGUUCUAGAGAUUGAGACAGGGGGGAUUAAUUACUCCUCUCCUUGGGUGUACGCCUGACCCGCAUUCAAGAAAAUUUAACCCUAGUGUACAGUAUGCAUAUCAUUCUGAUGUUCAGGGUCAUAGUACUAAAGAUUGUCAUACUUUGAAAAGAGAAAUAGAAAAAAUGAUUUAGGAAAAAAUAAUUGUAGUGAAAAAUGUUGACACCUCGAGCGUCACAAAGAAUACUACACCAACACAUGGCGAUGCACAAUACGUGGGAAUCAAUGAGUUAAACAUGAAGAUCCAGAACUUAUUUAUGGAGGGAAAAGUGUUUGAUGGCGAUGAAAGCUUUAGUCAUGAUGUGCAAACCAGUGGCUAAGUUAUCAGACUGAGCGAUUGAGAAGUCACCCCUCUCCCUACUUGGAAGGGGUCUGGUAUUUUAUUUUGUUUCCUUUUCUAUUCUUCGAAUUACUUUAAGGUUGUAGUUCGGGAUCUAUCUUGUUAUGUCCCUGCGUCAUUUGUGUUCAAACCUUUCUUUAUUAUAUUUCAACUAAAUGAAGUGUCCCUUUUCCUUUGUGUUUUAAAUAUGUGUUUUGUUUUCUUUCCACAUUAUAUUUUAUGUUGACUCUAGUGAUAUGACAUGCUAAGGAGAUUUUCAGCCAGAUCUUAAAAUCCAGUUUAAGAAUGAACAUUGAAUCAGAGGGUUAAAGUUAGAAAAAGAGAGAAUAUGAGAAAAUAGAUAGAGUUCUGAGACAUUUGGUGACAGGUUAAGGCAAUUAUUUUGAGAAUCACAAGAACAACUUGGUCAUCGAUCGAAAGACAGGUCCCAAUUAGGUCAAAUAGUGGACGUGUGAUCCCUAUAUCAAGAGAAACAAGAAGAUAAUCAGAUUCACGAAAGUAUGAGUCAUUCGAUGUGAGAAAUGUACAACAAAGGUGGAGUUUGCAGAAAAAGUGGGAUGCACAGACUCAAUCUGCUUAAAACAAUGUCUCAAAUGAUCAUCAUCUCUUACUUCCAAUUGCAUGUUAUGUACUUUCAUACUCAAGGAUUGAUAUGAUGAAGGCAUUUUAUUCUGCUAUCCAAACAUUGUGUCAUCCUUUGUUUACCCCGUUUGAGUCUUAGUGUUAUUUUCUUUCAUACCCCUAUUUUGGAAUCAGAUAGAGUCAAGAAAGCUCAAAAGAAAAGGUGUCGAACAAAAUAGUAAAGUCAGAAAAGUUUCAAAAGAAAAAAAGAAGAGAAAAAUAUGUCCAAAAAGAGAAAAAUAAGAGCGUCUGUCGAGAAAAAUAAAGUCAAAAAAAUCACAAAGAAAAAAGAGUAAAAAAAGAAGAAGAAGAAUAAGUCAGAAUCAAGCAAAAAAGAAUAAGCUGCCAGAACUAUGCAUGACCUGAUUCUCCUCUGUCGAAGAUGAGAUACGUAGGCUGCACUACCCUAGGCUCGGUCCAACCAAAUAAAUAAUUUAGAAUUACCCAGUCAAAAGAAACUGGGGCAUGAGUUAAUCCUCAUUGUUUGAGUCGAUUUCAAAAAUUGUAAGUCCUACCCACUUCAAGUGUCGUUUGGGCCCCAUGCCAUCCUUUCUUUCUAACUUUAUCCAAAAGCCAAGAUACAACCAAAGAAAGACCUUCAGAUCAAUCUUUGAGAAUGUUAAGGCUAAGUAUGCAAUGCAUAUGAUGACGCAUUUUGGGAACUGUUCGUCUUCCUCGGCAUAAGGAAUCAAGAGAGAAAUAAAAAUGAGAGAGUCUUAUUGGUGAAAAUCCUUACGGGCACCAUAAGGCGAUGGUAAGUUGAGAGAAAUAAAAAUGAGAGAGUAUUAUUGGUGAAAACCCUUACGAGCACCAUAAGGCGAUAGUGAUCUGAGAGAAAAUAAAAGAAGCUUGUUGGCGAAUUCAAGGCUCCACUAGCCGAAUGGGGUCUUAAAUGCAAUUAACCUAAGAAAGCAACUCAGUUUCAAGGCCAUUAACUCAACAACAAUGGGUAGAAAGUUUGUAUGAAAAGAUCAAACUGCUUAAUCCAAAAUACAUGGCAUAAUCAUAAGUGUUGACUGUCAUUUUUAGAUGAAUUUUUUGUUUCUUUAUUUUAAAAGGGGACAUUCAUCGUCUUUUCUUUCUUCUCUGUAAUUUAAUUUUAUCUUUCUUGAGUUAGUUAUCCAAACAAAAAUUAUCAUUCUUUUCUUCGUUUCUUAUCUUUGAGUCAAGUCCAUGUCAAAACAAAUGAGAAAAGAAUUCAAAAUUGGCUACCAGCUUAUUUAAUUGCACAAAGCAAGACAAAAGCUAGCACAUGAAGGAGACAUGAUUGUGAGACAAAAAAGGGCAUGCAGAAAGUUUUAUCAACAGAGAAGUCAGGGAACUCAUGGAAAUACCAAGGUUCAAAGAGUUUAUCUGAGGAGCAUGGCAAAACAGAGAUACUGUGUUUGUUUCAAAGUCACUCUUAAUCAUCUAAGUUUGAGUUAAUUAAGUAGCAAGUCAAUGAUAUAUGUAAUGGUUGGAAGCAAGAUCAAUGUGAUGAGGUCAAGGACGAUCUCUGCAAAAGUUAAAGCCACAAAUCAGCCACCAUGUUUCAAACUCACAAGUUUUCUUUGAUGAAAUAGGAAACAUACUACCUUCAAAGCAAGAACUUUAGAGUAUAAACAUCAUGGGCUGCAAUGCCUCACUUUUAUAAAUACAGGGAGCAAUGUUUCUGCAUAGGUUUGAUAAUUAAAUCAUGGUAAAAAUGAUCAUCUUAUAUCCCUCGGAGACACACUUUUUUGUCCAGGGAUUUCAGUUUUCAUUUGCUGGGUGAUACACUUCUUAUAUUGAACCUUCACUCCUAGAAGAUGUACCUUCUAGUCGAGUCAUUCCCUUUGAUUCCUAUAAGAUGUACCUUUUUUCGAGUCAUCCCCUUUGAUUCCUAUAAAACGUACCUUUUAGUCGAGUUAUUCCCUUUGAUUCCUAAAAGACGUACCUUUUAGUCAAGUCAUUCCCUUUGAUUCCUAGAAUAGGUACCUUUUAGUCAAGUCAUUCCCUUUGAUCCCUAUAAAACGUACCUUUUAGUCGAGUCAUCCCCUUUGAUUCCUAUAAGACGUACCUUUUAGUCGAGUCAUUCCCUUUGAUUCCUAGAAGAUGUACCUUUUAGUCGAGUCAUUCCCUUUGAUUCCUAGAAGACGUACCUUUUAGUCGAGUCAUUCCCUUUGAUUCCUAGAAGACAUACCUUUUAGUUGAGUCAUUCCCUUUGAUUCCUAUAAGACGUACCUUUUAGUUGAGUUGCUCCUUUGACCCCUAUAAGACAUACCUUUUAGUCGAGUCAUUCCCUCUGAUUCCUAUAAGACCUUUUAGUCGGUCAUCUCUUUUGAUUCCUAUUAGACGUACCUUUUAGUCGAGUCAUCACCUUUGAUUCCAAUAAGAUGUACCUUUUAGUUGAGUCAUCUCUCUUAAUUCCUAUAAGACGUACCUUUUGGUCGAGUCAUCCUCCCUUGACCCUUAGAAGACUUACCUUUUAGUCGAGUCGCUCCUUGAUUCCUAUAAGAUGUACCUUUUAGUCGAGUCAUCACCCUUGAUUCCUAUUAGACGUACCUUUUAGUCGAGUCAUUUCCCUUUGACUCCUAUAAUACGUACCUUUUAGUUGAGUCAUUCCCUUUGAUUCCUAGAAGACGUACCUUUUAGUCUACUCAUUCCCUUUGACCCCUAGAAGACGUACCUUUUAGUUGAGUCAUUCCCUUUGAUUCCUAUAAGACGUACCUUUUAGUCGAGUCAUCUCAUGAAAAAUGGAACUUUACUUUUUAUUCAGGACCCUCCUGAAAAAUGAGAUUUUACUUUCUGUUCAGGACCCUCCUAAAAAAUGAGAUUUUACUUUCUGUUCAGAACCCUCCUGAAAAAUAGGACUUUACUUUCUGUUCAGGACCCUCCUGAAGAAUGGAAUUUUUACUUUCUGUUCAGGACCCUCCUGAAGAAUGGGAUUUUACUUUCUGUUCAGGAUCCUCCUAAAAAUAGGAUUUUACUUUCUGUUCAGGACCCUCCUAAAAAAUGGGAUUUUACUUUCUGUUCAAGACCCUCCUGAAAAAUGGGAUUUUACUUUCUGUUCAGGACCCUCCUGAAAAAUGAGAUUUUAUUUUCUGUUUUGGGCCCUCCUAAGAAAAUGGAAUUUUACUUUAUGUUCAGGACCCUCAUUAAAAAUGAGAAUUUACUUUCUAUUUAGGACCCUCCUGGAAAAUGGGAAUUUACUUUCAAGUUAGGAUCUGGGAAUUUACUUCCAAUUCAGGACCUUCCUGGAAAAUGAGAAUUUACUUUAUGUUCAGGACCCUCCUAGAAAAUGGGAAUUUACUUUAUGUUCAGGACCCUCCUGAAAAAUAGGAUUUUACUUUCUGUUUAGGACCCUUCUGGAAAAUGGGAUUUUACUUUCUGUUCAGGACCCUCCUGAAAAAUGAAAUUUUACUUUCUGUUUAGGACCCCCUAAAAAAUGAGAUUUUACUUUAUUUUCAGGACUCUCCUGAAAUGAGAGUUUUCUUUAUGUUCAGGACCCUCCUGGAACCUAAAAAAUGAGAUUUUACUUUAUGUUUAGGACUCUCUUGAAAUGGGAAUUUACUUUAUGUUCAGGACCCUCCUGGAAAAUGGGACAUUACUUUCAGAAAAAUGAAACCUCUUUAUAAUAAUCUUUGUUUGGAAUAAUUUUUUUUUUAGUUUUGAUGUGAUUUCAGGAGUCCGCCUGAAGAAUAGGGUAAGGAAAUUGAAAGAUAAGCAAUGAGGUGAAACAUUUGAAAUCUAAACAACAAGUUGAUGAAAUUGCAAGUCAGGAGCCUGCUUGAAGAAUAGGGUGAGGAAAUUAUAAGUCAGGAGCCCACCCAAAGCACAGGGUGAUGAAAUGGCAAGUUAGGAGCUCGCCCGAAGCACAGGGUGAUGAAAUGGCAAGUUAGGAGCUCACCCGAAGCACAGGGAGAAUAAAUGAAAAGUUAAGCAACAAGGUGAAGCUAUUAAAAACCAGGCAACAAGUGAUGAAAUUGCAAGUCAUGAGCCUGCUUGAAGAAUAGGGUGAUGAAACUUAAGUCAGGAGUCUAACAGAAGCUGUAUAGAUAGGAUUUUUGUAAUUUCAUUUAUGUUUUAACUUGUAAUUUUCAUUUUAAUGUAAUGACAGAGCCGUGGACCGGAACCUCGAUGAAACCACACUCGACUCUCCAACUCAGUAUAGCCUUUCUCCUUCCUUUGGAAGUACCUGUGAUGGGUUUCUUUCAUAACUUAGGUAGGUAGGAUGUCCUAAGUCAAGACCUGGUUUCCCUCCUUCCUCUUGCUCCAUGCUUUUGAAUAAAGGUCGGGACAAAAUUCUAUCUCGUUGUCUACUUCUUUGUCUGAAAACACUGCGUGUUUACAUUCAAAGGGGGCAUGAUGUAGACACGUAAUUUUAUCCCUCCAAAAUAUUAGUUUUCACCUUUUUACCUAUCCUACCGUGUACCCUCAACCAUGUAAUUAUCCCCCUCACAAAAAUAUAAAAAUAAUAACUCCCUAACAAAUUUUAUCCUAUCCUAACCCCCUCUACACCUCACCUACUACCCCACCUACCCUAUACCCCACCUCUUUCCUUCACAUUUAAUUAUCAUUAACAGAAAAAAGGGAACAAAAAAGGAAUGGAACAAAAAUAGGUGGGCCCCAUAGUAAAACAAGAAUUCACUCCAUUUUCAUUUGAACACCUCACGUGAUCCCCCCGUUUUUUUUCAUUUCAUAAUUAUUUACACUACAUUCCAAAAGAGGAUAACAACUUAUGAGGCCCACGGUGCAAGGAAUCACAAUUUUUCCUUUGCUUUUUCCAUUCCACACACCUAUUGAGGGACUGGACCAUUUCUAUAUAUAUAUAGUCCUUACACAUAUACAGAAGGGAGAGAGCACAAAAAGUAAAGGGUGAGGGGACCAUGGAUAAGGAUCAAAGGAGAAGAAAAAACUUCUUCUUCUUGACCUAGGAAUUCACUCACAAAAAGGAAAAAAUCCUCCAUCGUCAUACACAGGGGAUAUCACUCAAAAAGGGAGGACCCAUCUUCUUCUUCUUCAAAAAAGGGACCCCUUUAUUAUUCUCAUUCUCACUAGUAACACGCAUACACACACUCUCAGAAAACACACAUGCGACACUCACUAUUUCACCUCACUGAAUCAGUAAACACACAGAGAGAAAGAGCUGUGAGGGAGAGAGAUGGGAGAGAGCAGCUAAACAGAGAGAGGGAAAAAAAUAAUAGGUCGGAGAACACUGUUCCGACGACUGUUUUUUCACCGAAAAUCCAUCUCAGGUUCUAUACUGGCCAUGUUCGGUGAGAUCUUCACCAGUAGUCGAUCAUCAUCCGUCGACUUCACCGACCAGUUUGAAAUCACCAAAAAUCUCAUCGUUUCUUUUGAUUUUCAAGUAAAUCAGCUUGAAUACAUUGAAACUUGCCGAAAUCCUCCCUUUCUCAUUAUUUUGCCGCUGUCCGAGCUUACCGAAGCUCAGGCUACACUGUUCUUUGGUUCUAUUAUGUAUUGGGGUUUCUGGGUUUGUCUGACUUUGUGUUCUGUCGCCAGAAUCGGGCUUCGGGGGAUUCAUCGGCUUUUGUUCCUGUUUUGUGGUUUAGUAUUUCGCACGUCUCAACUAGUUUUUGGUUUUCAAUUCCUCAAUAUCAAAGUUGGAGUUCGUCACUAUUGAGGUUCGGUUCGAGGUUUUCGGGCGCGGAUUCCAUCCUUUUAUUAAAGUAUUAUUGAAUUUUGAAAUCUUCUAAUUGAGGUUCAAUCCUAUUCCCUAUUUCUGUUAGUUCAUUAUUCAUUAUAUUUAGAUGCAUCAAAUUGCGUGUUAUGUCUUGCUUGAUAUGUGUUGGUGGUGAAUCUUUAGUUGUUUUG
rnacentral:lncRNA from 1 species